AACUAUGACCAUACCACACUGAUCACACCACACACAAGAUCUCAUCUGAUCUCAGAACCUAAGCAGGAGGGCCUGGGAGACCUCCUGGGAAUACUGGGUGCUGUAGGCU
rnacentral:rRNA from 1 species